UACAGAGGGUGCGAGCGUUGUUCGGAAUUAUUGGGCGUAAAGCGCUUGUAGGCGGCCCGUCAAGUCGCGUGUGAAAUCCCCAGGCUUAACCUGGGAAGUGCGCGCGAAACUGACGAGCUUGAGUGCCGGAGAGGGUCGCGGAAUUCCCGGUGUAGAGGUGAAAUUCGUAGAUAUUCGGAAGAACACCAGUGGCGAAGGCGACUUACUGGACACAUAUUGACGCUGAGGUGCGAAAGCGUGGGGAGCAAACAGG
rnacentral:rRNA from 1 species